rnacentral:rRNA from 1 species
UAGGGAAUCUUCGGCAAUGGGCGAAAGCCUGACCGAGCAACGCCGCGUGAGUGAUGAAGGUUUUCGGAUUGUAAAGCUCUGUUGUUAGGGAAGAACAAGUACCGUUCGAAUAGGGCGGUACCUUGACGGUACCUAACCAGAAAGCCACGGCUAACUACGUGCCAGCAGCCGCGGUAAUACGUAGGUGGCAAGCGUUGUCCGGAAUUAUUGGGCGUAAAGGGCUCGCAGGCGGUUUCUUAAGUCUGAUGUGAAAGCCCCCGGCUCAACCGGGGAGGGUCAUUGGAAACUGGGGAACUUGAGUGCAGAAGAGGAGAGUGGAAUUCCACGUGUAGCGGUGAAAUGCGUAGAGAUGUGGAGGAACACCAGUGGCGAAGGCGACUCUCUGGUCUGCAACUGACGCUGAGGAGCGAAAGCGUGGGGAGCGAACA